UAUGGCCACAUCAUGUUGAAACAUUGGUUCCUGUAUAAUCACCAAAGUUAAGCAACAUUGAGCUUGGUCAGUACCUAGAUGGAUGACCACUUGGGAAUACCAGUUGCUGUA